GUCCACGCCUUAAACGAUGGUUGUUCGGUGUCGGGUCGUAAGAUUCGGUGCCUGAGCUAACGCGUUAAACAACCCACCUGGGGAGUACGAUCGCAAGGUUGAAACUCAAAAGGAAUUGACGGGGGCCCGCACAAGCAGUGGAGCAUGUGGUUUAAUUCGAUGCAACGCGAAGAACCUUACUUGGGUUUGAAAGGCAAGAGACAGUCGAUGAAAAGUCGGCCUCGUAGCAAUACGUUCUUGUACAGGUGCUGCAUGGCUGUCGU
rnacentral:rRNA from 1 species